rnacentral:rRNA from 1 species
UACGUAGGUGGCGAGCGUUGUCCGGAUUUACUGGGCGUAAAGAGCGCGCAGGCGGUCGUGCAAGUCGCGUGUGAAAGCCCCCGGCUCAACUGGGGAGGGUCACGCGAUACUGCUCGACUUGAAGGCAGGAGAGGGAAGUGGAAUUCCCGGUGUAGUGGUGAAAUGCGUAGAUAUCAGGAGGAACACCAGUGGCGAAGGCGACUUCCUGGCCUGUUCUUGACGCUGAGGCGCGAAAGCUAGGGUAGCAAACGGG